UACGUAGGUGGCGAACGUUGUCCGGAUUUAUUGGGCGUAAAGCGCGUGUAGGCGGCCACACAGGUCCGCUGUGAAAACUCGAGGCUCAACCUCGAGCUGUCGGUGGAAACCGUGUGGCUAGAGUCCGGAAGAGGAGACUGGAAUUCCCGGUGUAGCGGUGGAAUGCGCAGAUAUCGGGAGGAACACCCGUGGCGAAGGCGGGUCUCUGGGACGGUACUGACGCUGAGACGCGAAAGCGUGGGGAGCGAACAGG
rnacentral:rRNA from 1 species